UUAAAAAAUAGAGAUUUUACGUGGAAAAUACUUGGCUCAAAGGUGAAAAAACCACGACCUAUUUUCCAGUAGGUUUUUUCCAAACUCUCCACUAAAAUCACUGAGCCAAAAACGACAUUUACAAAACUCUUUUGUAAACCUAGGAUUAACUUUAAUCCCGUUGUAGCACACGCCUAUUGCGACAACUUCAAGUUAACUCUAACUUGAAAACUCAGAGUACCUAAUACAAUUGUUUCUAGAUAAGCUGAAAGGUACAAUAUGAACGCACCUACUACAAUUGAACUAGAAAUAAAAGACAGACACUUGGAACUGAUUCAGGUAGCUUUAGGUUUGCACGCUUGAAUCACACACAAAUUGCUUGCAAAAUUCCUUGCUAUUUGCUCUCAAUUCACAUUUAACUUCUGCUUAUGUGUGUUACCUGUAAAAGAGAACAACACUGAUAUUUGUGGAGUUAGUAAAUAGAGAUUGACUAGAUUUCUGAUGCUACUCUUCCUUGGCGGAAGAGUUCUAGUUGAUCUCAACCUCUAACUCUAUCCUUCUCUUAAGUCGUGUUCUCUUUGAGUAAGGAUUCUUUCUCCUUAUCCAAUAUGCAACAUUUUUUUUCAGGACCGGGUGAUAUCAUUUCUGGUAAGUUAGGUUUAUCUCCUUCACUUGCAUUUCACAUGCUUGAGUUGACCAUAUCUGUGCUUCACUAGGAUGGACCUGAUCCAUAUCUGAGUUCCUUUGUCAGUCUUCAAAACUCACCUUUACUUGGGCCAACACUCUCUCACUUAAAAUAUCUCUUUGUGUUUCUCACGUAUUUAUCACUAUCAAUUUUCCCACAAUUUCUCUAAGUAAAAGAUACUCCAUGAUUUCAUAACGUAUAUCCCAUUUCUGCGUGAUUUCUCCAUUAUGUAUCAAUAUAAUAUAUCUAUGUAGGGGCCUAUUUUCAUAGAAAACAUAUUGCUCCGAAAAUCAUGGAUGUGGUAAUAGAGAUAUUGUUUGUAUUGAAGAAAUUUCAUAAUCAUCUUUUGAAAGAACCAAGCUGUUCUCAAUCCGCCAUCAUCCUCAUUCUAAUUUGCAACAGUAAAACUUUAGUGUUUGACGAUGAUGAUGAUGAUUUCUGUUUGGAUUAGAUAUAGAAAAAGAGUCAAGUUCUAGCUAUUAAUAGAGAUGGAGUAGAUGCUUCUAAAGGUUCCUCAAAGGUAUUUCGUAGUAAUGCCCAUAAUAUACAGUAUACUCCCAGCAUAUAUAUGCUAAAACUACCACAUAUCCACCACAUAUCGCAUACCAUCUUCCAAUACUGUAUAUAACGGCUUCACCUGUAAUACGUUAAAAUUAUGGUUGUACAAUAUAUAUACCGGCUAUUACCUAUUUUUGGGGAAUAUGAAGCGUUUGUUAUGAGGUAGUAUUGUAGUGGUAACCUAAUAAGUUUAUAUUGAUAAUUAAUAUUAACAAAUUAGAGAAUAUUUAGGGCCUAAAUCUACGCUUACCGUACACUGAAAAGUAAAGUACGUUACUUAAGGGGAGGUACGUUCCUCUAAGGAUCUAAUGACAUUCCCGGUAAAUAGGGGAAGUUACCUUAUUUUUAGAGGAAUUUACAUAGAAUACAACUCUUUAAAACUUAUUUAUAUUUUCUACAACUGCUUUAAUAAAAUUACUUUUAGUACAACUUUUUUUUUAAAUCAUACCUUUUUAAUUCCUAAAAUGCCUCGGUGAUAUUCUCUUAGAUGUUUUAUACUUCAAUACCACACAAGAGGGGGGUGAUUUGUGUUGUGUUCAAUUUUUUGCUUAACCUGAUUAUAGAAGGGCUUGGUUCUUCUAUGUGUUCCAACUACUGCUGUUACAGAAUAAUGAGUACAAAAAUUAAAGAACGCGGAGAUUUUACGAAGAAAAUACCUGGCUCAAAAGGUGAAAAACCCACGACCUACUUUCCAGUAGGAUUUUCCCAAACUCUCCACUAAAAUCACUUAGCCAAAAAACUGCAUUUACAAAACUCUUUUGUAACAUAGGAUUAACUUUAAUCCCGUUGUAGCACACAACCUCAACUAUUGCGUCAACGUCAAGUUAACUCUAACUUUAAAACUCUGAGUACCUAAUACAAUUGCUUCUAGAUAAGCUGAAAGGUACAAUAUGAAAACACCUACUACAAUUGAACUAGAAAUAAAAGACAG
rnacentral:lncRNA from 1 species